rnacentral:lncRNA from 1 species
GUCAUAGCGACUUUUGGGAUAGUUUGCUAUCGACAAAGGGAGACAAAGUCAAGGGGUGAAGGGAAAGGAGGGCCAAGUAGAGCCUCCACGACCCUCGGCUUCCUCCUCACCAGCUCCCCCUCCCUCCAAGUCCAGUAAGAAGUUGGGCCAAGCUGGAAGGGAUUGACCGGGUUGCUUGUCUGGAGAUGGAGCCACUACAGGCGGGCCUGGGCGCCUGGAGUCGGGCAUGAAAGAAAAUAGCGCCUCAUCGCUCUUAUCUAAGCCCAGAGACUUCGCUUGAAAAGAUCGAGAAUGGAGGAGGGGAUCGGCACUCACUUGCAGACAUCAACAGUUUCCAGAAAAUUCGGUUCAAUUCCUUCACCACGGACCCACCAACCAAGGAGCUGGCAAAACCCACUAACCAACCAGGAGAACACAGACCCGGUUUGUCUUUUGACAACCGAGUGGAACUGACGGGGCCGGCGCCUGCCCUGCGGGUCCCCUCCCUUGGCUGAGAAGAAAACCAAAUAAACCUUGAACAGCCUUGGCUUCGGAUGUCUCAAGCGGCCUCAUCCUCUCCCGCGCCUUGGUGGGGUGGGGGUGGGGAUGGCGGUGGGGGUGUCGGCUCUGAUCCCUCCACCCUUUGAUUCAGGGCCCCUGCCCGCUGGAAGCAGAAUUAGACCUUUUUAUAUAUGCCCUAGAGGAAGCCGCUUCCCUUGCCAGCCGCCAGGUUUGGGGCUAGGAUGGGCGGGGACGGGGGCAGUGGGAAAUUGGGGAUGAUGGGUGGAGGAGAGACUUCUGUUCUCUAACUCACACCGGGGAACCAAGAUCUAGCUGAGAGCGUCGGUGUGGGCCCGAAAUCCCCCGAAUCCCGUGGACCCUGCGAGGCCGGGGCUCCAGGCGUCGGGCACCUCUGGACAGUGUCGCGGGGCUUGCGGCGCCGAAGCCGCGUGUCUCCGAACGGACGGUAGAUGGCAGCAGACCGCAUAAUUUGGGUCACAGCGAACUGUCUAAGGGAGGAUUUAUAACCCUCCAAGACUACAGGAGAAAAAGACCUUU